rnacentral:tRNA from 1 species
GGGGGCAUGGCGAAAUUGGUAGACGCAGCGGACUUAAAAUCCGUAGCCAGUUAAAUGGUGUGGGGGUUCAAGUCCCCCUGCCCCCA